rnacentral:rRNA from 1 species
GGAUAACUACGGAAAAGCUGUAGCUAAUACUUGCUUUAGCACUCUUGAUUAAGUUCUUGAGUGUGUACUUGUUAAGCCUUUUAAGAAAAAAGUUAUUAACUUAAGGAAUUAUAACAAAGAAGUAACACGUAAUGGAUCCGUCCAUUUUUAGUGUGUAUCAAUCGAGUUUCUGACCUAUCAGCUUUUGAUGUUAGGGUAUUGGCCUAACAUGGCUAUGACGGGUAACGGGGAAUUAGAGUUCGAUUCCGGAGAGGGAGCCUGAGAAAUAGCUACCACAUCUAAGGAAGGCAGCAGGCGCGUAAAUUACCCAAUUCUAAAGAAGAGAGGUAGUGACAAGAAAUAACAAUACAAGGCCAAUCUGGCUUUGUAAUUGGAAUGAUGGGAAUUUAAAACCUUCCCAAAACUCAAUUGGAGGGCAAGUCUGGUGCCAGCAGCCGCGGUAAUUCCAGCUCCAAUAGCGUAUAUUAAAAUUGUUGCAGUUAAAACGCUCGUAGUUGAAUUUCAAAGAAUCGAUAUUUUAAGCAACGCUUUUAGCUUAAUCCACAUAACUGAUACUACGUAUCGACUUUGUGCGCAUUUUGCUAUUAUGUGUUCUUUUAAUUAAAAUGAUUCUUUUUAAGGUCUUUCUCUUGCUUCGGCAUUUGAAGAUCUUGUUACUUUGAGUAAAUUAGAGUGUUCAAAGCAAACAGAUAUAGCAUUGCGCGUUUGAAUACUACAGCAUGGAAUAACAAAAUUGAACAAGUCAGAAUUUUGUUCUUUUUUCUUAUUUUGGCUUAGUUACGAUUAAUAGGAGUAGCUUGGGGGCAUUUGUAUUCAGAUGUCAGAGGUGAAAUUCUUAGAUUUUCUGGAGACAAACAACUGCGAAAGCAUUUGCCUAAAAUACUUCCAUUAAUCAAGAACGAAAGUUAAGGGAGUGAAGACGAUCAGAUACCGUCGUAAUCUUAACCAUAAACUAUGCCGACUAGGCUUUGGAUGAAAGAUUUUAAAAUAAGAGAUUUUCUCUUCGGAGUUAAUC